AGCGAACGUUUGCGGCGGGCUUAACACAUGCAAGUCGAACGGGCUGUUCCUUCGGGGGCAGUCAGUGGCGCACGGGUGCGUAACACGUAGGUAAUCAACCCUCUGGUUGGGGAUAACACUUCGAAAGGAGUGCUAAUACCCGGUAUGGCGCAGCGGUCUUCGGAUCGCGGCGAGAAAGACCCGCAAGGGUUGCCAGAGGACGAGCCUGCGGCCCAUCAGCUAGUUGGCGAGGUAACGGCUCACCAAGGCGAAGACGGGUAGCUGGUCUGAGAGGAUGAUCAGCCACACUGGAACUGAGACACGGUCCAGACUCCUACGGGAGGCAGCAGUGGGGAAUAUUGCGCAAUGGGCGAAAGCCUGACGCAGCCACGCCGCGUGAGCGAUGAUGGCCU
rnacentral:rRNA from 1 species